GCCGAGAUCGCAUAGCCUGGUAUCGCGCGUGACUGGAAAUCACGUGGGUUCGUCCCGCGGGAGUUCAAAUCUCCCUCUCGGCGCCA
rnacentral:tRNA from 7 species